AGCUACCGCAUAUAAACAAGGAGCAAACCUCAUAUCACUAGCACUGAUAAUGUUACCUGGUCAGGUAAUGAAACAUCUGCAAGCAAGCAACCAAGGUCAGAGAGUACCAAAGACUCCACACUCAUAUCAUACUGUGAUUAAUCUUAUAGCUCUGUCAGAGUGUUGGACUGAGAAGACUUAUUAGCAACCACAUGGAGCCAGUGGAAGAACUGUAUGGAGUGAGAAAAGAAGAGAAUCAUGGGUACCUGUGGUCCAUAGGAGUUUCACCAAGAAACAUGGAACAUAGAAUGCAGCCUACUGUAGGAUAUGGAAAAACAAAUUAUGGGGCUAUGAGCACUCAAUGAGAAACUGGAAUCAAAUAUGAAUGCAGGACACAGAAUAAUGGAUUUAAAUUAUAAGACACAAAUUCCACCAUAAUAUUGAGGUUUCCUAAACUUCCUAAUAGUAAGAGCUAGAUAAUCAUCCAUUUACUUUAAUCUUGAUUC